rnacentral:sRNA from 1 species
CACACACACUAAACCCAACCAUCUUGGGGUGGACUCCCUGCCAGCCCAACAGUUGUAUUUUCAGUUCUUCCAGUGUGAAUCAGUUAAUAUUAUCGGGAACGAGGGAGAGGUUGAUCCUAGGAGGAAAUCAACCACAGUGAAAAGGCUUGGGCCGCUUUUGUUUUCACCUCCUUUUGCUGAACAAAUUUGAUUUCCGGAGUCAGUCAUUUUACUGUCAAGAAAUUUCUGCGGCAUUCUGCAACAGCACGAGGAUGCUUUGGAGAACGGAAGGAUUUCAUCGAGUCCAAAUGACACUCACCUCUGGGCCUCUCAGCCUCCUUGGCCAUGUGGUUGUUCUGCUACUGAGAGUCUGCAGAUGAGCUGGUGGUUUCUCCAAGCUUCCGAGAGCUCUCUCAGUUUCCAACGUGGCUAGAUCCGUCAGAGACUGAAGCCGUGGAGAACGCUCUCGGGGCCUUUGCCACUUCUUGGAGUAGAAGCCGACAGAGAGCUGUUUGGAAACGUCUUCUUCACACACCAGUUGAAGACUAGGCUUUGGAGGUUUUCAAAGCAG